rnacentral:snRNA from 1 species
GGAUGUGAGGGUGAUCUGGCUGCGACAUCUGUCACCCCAUUGAUCGCCAGCGUUGAUUCGGCUGAUCUGGCUGGCUAGGCGGGUGUCCCCUUCCUCCCUCACCUCUCCGUGUACAUCCCUCCCGAAGCUGUGCACUCGGUCGAAGAGGAUGACCUUCCCCGCUAGAGGAGGACCGGUCUUCGGUCAAGGGUAUACGAGUAGCUGCGCUCCCCUGCUAGAACCUCCAAACAAGCUCUUAAGAAACACUGACAAGAUGGACAAGAAACCAAGAGAAGUGUUUCAGAAAUGGUGGGCAGGCGGGAGAGGCCAGACUU